AGAACGAACGCUGGCGGCAUGCCUAACACAUGCAAGUCGAACGAGACCUUCGGGUCUAGUGGCGCACGGGUGCGUAACGCGUGGGAAUCUGCCCUUGGGUUCGGAAUAACAGUUGGAAACGACUGCUAAUACCGGAUGAUGACGUUAAGUCCAAAGAUUUAUCGCCCAGGGAUGAGCCCGCGUAGGAUUAGCUAGUUGGUGAGGUAAAGGCUCACCAAGGCGACGAUCCUUAGCUGGUCUGAGAGGAUGAUCAGCCACACUGGGACUGAGACACGGCCCAGACUCCUACGGGAGGCAGCAGUGGGGAAUAUUGGACAAUGGGCGAAAGCCUGAUCAGCAAUGCCGCGUGAGUGAUGAAGGCCUUAGGGUUGUAAAGCUCUUUUACCGGGAUGAUAAUGACAGUAACCGGGAGUAAUAAGCUCCGGACUAACCUCCGCGCCAGCAGCCGA
rnacentral:rRNA from 1 species